rnacentral:rRNA from 1 species
UACAGAGGUCUCAAGCGUUGUUCGGAUUCAUUGGGCGUAAAGGGUGCGUAGGCGGUUCGAUAAGUCGGGUGUGAAACCUCCAGGCUCAACCUGGAGACGCCACCCGAUACUGUCGUGACUAGAGUCCAGUAGGGGAGCGUGGAAUUCCUGGUGUAGCGGUGAAAUGCGCAGAUAUCAGGAGGAACACCAGCGGCGAAGGCGGCGCUCUGGGCUGGAACUGACGCUGAGGAGCGAAAGCGUGGGGAGCGAACAGG